CCCGGCUCUAAUGUAAGACCUUUCUAAGUACCUAACUCUUCCUCUGGGAGGGCUUGGGGUUCGGGAAGGGCUCCCUACCCUGUGGGGGGAAGAGAGACUGAAUCUGUGCUUUCCUUCUUGUGGCUGAUUAGAUCUUGAGCUCUUCAUUGCCUUUUUGUGCUGCCCUUGCUCCUUUCUUUUGCAUGCUGCCUGCUUUUUGAAUAACAAAGUCUGGGUCACCUCCAUUCCUCACGGGACCUCAGCAACCCCAGGGCCACAGUGGCCCUAACACCCCAACAGAGGGGUUCAGUGGAGUCACAGGAAGCUGCCGCCUUCCUUGGUUGUGUCCUUUUACUUGUUUGAUCUAAUGAGUGUUUGAGUGACAAGAAUAGGUAUUUUUCCAUCUCAAGAUUCUUACCUUCUUCUUCUCUAUAUUUUUUCCCUUGCAGGGCAACCAGGACCAAAGGGACAGAAAGGAGAACCUGGAGACAUCAAGGAU
rnacentral:sRNA from 1 species